ensembl:rRNA 5S_rRNA 5S ribosomal RNA
GUCUACAGCCAUACCACCCUGAACACACCAGAAAUCGGAAGCUAAACAGGGUCGGACCUGGGUAGUACUUGGAUGGGAAAGUCAAAAACUUCAACAUAUGAACAGGGGUGGAGGCC